rnacentral:rRNA from 1 species
UACGUAGGUGGCAAGCGUUGUCCGGAAUUAUUGGGCGUAAAGCGCGCGCAGGCGGUCCUUUAAGUCUGAUGUGAAAGCCCACGGCUCAACCGUGGAGGGUCAUUGGAAACUGGGGGACUUGAGUGCAGGAGAGAAGAGUGGAAUUCCACGUGUAAGCGGUGAAAUGCGUAGAGAUGUGGAGGAACACCAGUGGCGAAGGCGGCACUCUGGGC